GACGAACGUUGGCGGCGUGCUUAAUACAUGCAAGUCAACUGAAGCAGUGGUAGCAAUAUCGCUGUGGAGGUGGCGCACGGGUGAGUAACACGUAGGUAAUCUGCCUUCAGGUCUGGCAUAACUCCGGGAAACCGGGGCUAAUAGCAGAUGAUGCAGCGGCUCGACAUCGAGACAGUUGUUAAAGCUAUGGCGCCUGAAGAUGAGCCUGCGUCUGAUUAGCUAGUUGGCGGGGUAACGGCCCACCAAGGCAACGAUCAGUAGCUGGUCUGAGAGGAUGAUCAGCCACACUGGAACUGAGACACGGUCCAGACUCCUACGGGAGGCAGCGGUAAGGAAUAUUGCUCAAUGGGAGAAAUCCUGAAGCAGCAACGCCGCGUGAGGGACGAAGGGCUUUUGCUUGUAAACCUCUGUAGUGAGAGAAAAAAAUCCCAAUCUUUGGGACAUGAUGGUAUCUCAAAAGUAAGCCCCGGCUAACUACGUG
rnacentral:rRNA from 1 species